rnacentral:rRNA from 1 species
CUACGCGAGGCAGCAGUGGGGAAUAUUGCACAAUGGAGGAAACUCUGAUGCAGCAACGCCGCGUGAGGGAAGAAGGUUUUCGGAUUGUAAACCUCUGUCCUCGGUGAAGAAAAAAAUGACGGUAGCCGAGGAGGAAGCCACGGCUAACUACGUGCCAGCAGCCGCGGUAAUACGUAGGUGGCAAGCGUUGUCCGGAUUUACUGGGUGUAAAGGGUGCGCAGGCGGGACUGCAAGUUGGAUGUGAAAUGCCGAGGCUCAACCUCGGAGCUGCAUCCAAAACUGUGGUUCUUGAGAGAUGUAGAGGUAAGCGGAAUUCCGAGUGUAGCGGUGAAAUGCGUAGAUAUUCGGAGGAACACCAGUGGCGAAGGCGGCUUACUGGGCAUUUUCUGACGCUGAGGCACGAAAGUGUGGGGAGCAAACAGGAUUAGAUACCCCCGUAGUC